rnacentral:rRNA from 1 species
UACGUAGGCAGCAAGCGUUGUUCGGAGUUACUGGGCGUAAAGGGUGCGUAGGCGGCCGUGUAAGUGUGGUGUGAAAUCUCCCGGCUUAACUGGGAGGGUGCGCUACAGACUGCAUGGCUAGAGUGUGGGAGAGGAAAGUGGAAUUCCUGGUGUAGCGGUGAAAUGCGUAGAUAUCAGGAGGAACACCUGUGGCGAAAGCGGCUCACUGGACCAUAACUGACGCUGAUGCACGAAAGCUAGGGGAGCAAACAGG